GAUGAACGCUAGCGACAGGCUUAACACAUGCAAGUCGAGGGGCAGCGGUGGUGAAGGCUUGCCUUUACCAGCCGGCGACCGGCGCACGGGUGAGUAACACGUAUGCAACCUGCCUGCCACAGCCGGAUAAUCGGGAGAAAUUCCGUCUAAUACGGCAUAAUGCAUCGACGGGACAUCCUGUUGGUGCCAAAGGUUGAUUCCGGUGGCGGAUGGGCAUGCGUCGCAUUAGUUAGUUGGCGGUGUAACGGACCACCAAGACGACGAUGCGUAGGGGUUCUGAGAGGAAGGUCCCCCACACUGGUACUGAGACACGGACCAG
rnacentral:rRNA from 1 species